rnacentral:rRNA from 2 species
CUUUACUAUAGCUUGACACUGAACAUUGAGCCUUGAUGUGUAGGAUAGGUGGGAGGCUUUGAAGCGUGGACGCCAGUCUGCGUGGAGCCGACCUUGAAAUACCACCCUUUAAUGUUUGAUGUUCUAACGUGGACCCGUAAUCCGGGUUGCGGACAGUGUCUGGUGGGUAGUUUGACUGGGGCGGUCUCCUCCUAAAGAGUAACGGAGGAGCACGAAGGUUGGCUAAUCCUGGUCGGACAUCAGGAGGUUAGUGCAAUGGCAUAAGCCAGCUUGACUGCGAGCGUGACGGCGCGAGCAGGUGCGAAAGCAGGUCAUAGUGAUCCGGUGGUUCUGAAUGGAAGGGCCAUCGCUCAACGGAUAAAAGGUACUCCGGGGAUAACAGGCUGAUACCGCCCAAGAGUUCAUAUCGACGGCGGUGUUUGGCACCUCGAUGUCGGCUCAUCACAUCCUGGGGCUGAAGUAGGUCCCAAGGGUAUGGCUGUUCGCCAUUUAAAGUGGUACGCGAGCUGGGUUUAGAACGUCGUGAGACAGUUCGGUCCCUAUCUGCCGUGGGCGCUGGAGAACUGAGGGGGGCUGCUCCUAGUACGAGAGGACCGGAGUGGACGCAUCACUGGUGUUCGGGUUGUCAUGCCAAUGGCACUGCCCGGUAGCUAAAUGCGGAAGAGAUAAGUGCUGAAAGCAUCUAAGCACGAAACUUGCCCCGA